rnacentral:lncRNA from 1 species
AGAAGGGGAGGUUGUGAACGGUUAUCCUCUCCUUCAAUUUCUCCCCACGUCGCCCGUCAGACCCCCUCUCAUCCUCUUUCCCUGCUCAAAAACCAUUCAACGUUUCCCCAAUAUGAAUAUCGAUUUCGGUUCCACAAGCACAUGAGCCUAUUCCAAAUCCAACCAAUCUUAUAAUCCAUUCGAGUGGUGUGAUUUCAUCAGAUUUUUUAUGGGAUUUCAUCAACAAUCAGAUUGGUAUUGCCUACGAUUUCAUCCAGUAGGAGAAUAAUGAAAGCCGGUAGUGAAUUUGUUCAAUCUAAUUCGACGGCGGCGGUGGCCUCGAAAUCGAUGACUAUUAAGUUUCGUUGAAUUAUUGGGUUUUUUUCAUCGAUCAAUAUGUCUCGCUUAUGUAUUCAUCAUAGUUAUUGGUUAUAUCUUCAUCAUGAUGGAGCUUCAAACAUCAUCCACUACUGAAAAGAGGCGGGACAAAAUGCAAGUCCAUUAAAAUCAG